GUUCUGAUGGUGUAGUUGGUUAUCACGUUCGCUUUACAUGCGAAAGGUCUCCAGUUCGAUCCUGGAUCAGAACA
rnacentral:tRNA from 1 species